rnacentral:tRNA from 1 species
AUUAAAAUAGUUUAAAUAAAAUAUUGAUUUGUGGGAUCAAAGAUUUACUAUUAUUUUAAUU